CCUACGGGCGGCAGCAGUCGAGAAUCAUUCACAAUGGGGGAAACCCUGAUGGUGCGACGCCGCGUGGGGGAAUGAAGGUCUUCGGAUUGUAAACCCCUGUCAUGUGGGAGCAAAUUAAAAAGAUAGUACCACAAGAGGAAGAGACUGCUAACUCUGUGCCAGCAGCCGCGGUAAUACAGAGGUCUCAAGCGUUGUUCGGAAUCACUGGGCGUAAAGCGUGCGUAGGCUGUUUCGUAAGUCGUGUGUGAAAGGCGCGGGCUCAACCCGCGGACGGCACAUGAUACUGCGAGACUAGAGUAAGGGAGGGGGAACCGGAAUGCUCGGUGUAGCAGUGAAAUGCGUAGAUAUCGAGAGGAACACUCGUGGCGAAGGCGGGUUCCUGGACAUUAACUGACGCUGAGGCACGAAGGCCAGGGGAGCGAAAGGGAUUAGAUACCCUUGUAGUC
rnacentral:rRNA from 1 species